rnacentral:rRNA from 1 species
UCAGACGAUGCGUCAUGCAUAUCAAUAAGCGGAGGAAAAGAAACUAACAAGGAUUUCCCUAGUAACGGCGAGUGAAGCGGGAAGAGCUCAAAUUUGAAAUCUUAAAGGGUUUCCCUUUACGAAUUGUAGUUUAAAGAAGUGUUUUCUGUUGAGGUUUUGGUAAAAGUUCUUUGGAAUAGGACAUCAUAGAGGGUGAGAAUCCCGUAUUUGACCUUUACUUUCAACUUUGUGAUACACUUUCAAAGAGUCGGAUUGUUUGGGAAUGCAGUCCAAAAUGGGUGGUAAAUUUCAUCUAAAGCUAAAUAUUGGCGAGAGACCGAUAGCGAACAAGUACCGUGAGGGAAAGAUGAAAAGAACUUUGAGAAGAGAGUUAAACAGUACGUGAAAUUGUCAAAAGGGAAGCGUUUGACACCAGUGUUGUUUUUCUGAAAAUCAAUUAAAGAACUGUUUAUGCUAAGCUGUUUAGACUUUAUCAGCUAUCUGUUUAGUUUUGAGCUUUUCUUUAAUGCACUUUUCAGUUAACAAGUCAACAUCAAUUUCUUUUGCUGUAAAAAAGCUUGAGGAAGGUGGCUUGAGAUUCGUCUUAAGUGUUUAUAGCCUCUUGCCUAUGCAGUCGGAGAGAUUGAGGUCUGCAGCGUAGAUCCUUCGGGGCUAAAUGCAUUUGUGCUAAGUUAUAGCAUUUUAUAGACAACUUGUUGACUAUGAUUUGUCUUGUAGCUUACUCGCUUAUGUUAUUUUACCUACGCUUAGGAUGUUGAAUCUGUGCGAGACUAC